UACAGAGGUCUCAAGCGUUGUUCGGAUUCACUGGGCGUAAAGGGUGCGUAGGUGGCGCCAUAAGUCAGGUGUGAAAUUUCGGAGCUUAACUCCGAAACUGCACUUGAUACUGCGGUGCUUGAGGACUGGAGAGGAGACUGGAAUUCACGGUGUAGCAGUGAAAUGCGUAGAUAUCGUGAGGAAGACCAGUGGCGAAGGCGGGUCUCUGGACAGUUCCUGACACUGAGGCACGAAGGCCAGGGGAGCAAACGGG
rnacentral:rRNA from 1 species